CAUUAUGUCUGUACUGUUUCUGUUGUAUUAGCAGAGUUAAAUAGUACAAUAUUUCUGAAAUGUUCUAGAGUGGAAGUUUAAAGUAGCAUUAAAUGGAAAUUUACCACAAAAUUGUACUAAAAUACAGUACUUGAGUAAAUCUACUUCCACCACUGUCGUCCAUAGACACAUUUAACUUUAUGGUAUUUAAAUUUGUUUGAUUAUUAGACGCUGAACAAUACAAAAACUAUAAAAUCUACUUCAACUACAUCUACUACAUCUCUCGCUCUCUCUUCAUCAUCUUUUAUCUCCUCUACAAACAUUCAAAGCUUUUCCUUCUUGUACAUCUUCAUCUGAGAAACAGCCUCAGAAGAAGAAGAAGAUGAUGGAUUCAUACCUUCAGUUCAAAGGCUCAGGACCAUAAAGGCCUGUCAUUGAGAGGGAAGCAGCCAGAGGCGAAGCCGAGCAGGAGAUCCCAGUUAAACAGAUGUCAAACGUGGUCAUCCCUCUCAGCUUCAGGGCUCUGGUGCUGACCCUGACCUUUGACCUUUCUGCAUAAGAGAAGAAGCUCUAUCCACCUUAUUCCCAGCUUCAAGAUAUCUUGCAUGAAUUACAGUUCGUCUCUUGUCCGUCCUUUGUGUCUGUGACAGCAAACAGCAGACAAAAACACACAGGUGAGUCCCGGGCGUCAGGGACAAUGGAGGAAAUCUGACACCGGAGUGUCGUCAAAGCUCUGGGAAAGUCACACAUGGACUCUGGUGCACCAGAGUACCGAGGUUACAUGUGAUUGUGGGAUUGAUAAGUGAUCAAUAACAUCUCACAGCAUUCUGAGAGGAAUCAAACAGAAAUGAUUACUUCUAAGAUCAGCUGUGACGUUUAAAGGCCUGAUAUGUAACUUUUCUGCAUUAAACUGCCUAAAAAUGAC